UUUUUUAUUGGAAUGUGUUUGAAGAGUUAUUAGCAGUCAGCCAUCAAAAAUCAUUUCAAGAAUAUCAUGAAAACUGAACGAGUUGCUGCUGGAAAUGGAACUGGAGGUGCAGCAGUGGUAAAACCAGAGAUAAAAAAGAAAAGAAAAUGUGAGGUAGUAGAAACAGUUGAUGACAAAUGUCAAAGUUGAUUUACCAAAAUUAUGCUUUAAUCAGCAACCCAUGGUUUCCAGCGGAGAAAUAUUUUGAAAAUACUUUUUUCAUUAAUUAAACAUCAUGGAGGGAUAUCCCGCACUCCAGUUGGUGUCAGAGGAGAAUGAAUUCAUUGAUGAAAUUAUCCAGAAGUUGAUUUUUCCACGGCUGAGGUCAGGCCUCAAAGAAGUCAUCCCACU